AUUUUAUUUCUAGUGAUUGGAAUGAUGGGAAUUUAAACCCCUUUCAGAGUAACAAUUGGAGGGCAAGUCUGGUGCCAGCAGCCGCGGUAAUUCCAGCUCCAAUAGCGUAUAUUAAAGUUGUUGCAGUUAAAAAGCUCGUAGUUGGAUGUCUGCUGGAAGCAAUCAGUCCGCCCUAUUUGUAGGGUGUGCACAUGAUGAAUUCUGGCAUCUAUGUCCCAAUAAUAUAACGGAAGCUAUUGGACGAAAGUUCAAUAGUAUAUUUCCGAUUAUUGGGAUACUGUUACUUUGAGAAAAUUAGAGUGUUUGAAGCAGGCUAAUUGCCUUGAAUACUGCAGCAUGGAAUAACAAUAUAGGAUUUCGGUUCUAUUUUGUUGGUUUCUAGGACUGAAAUAAUGAUUAAUAGGGACAGUUGGGGGCAUUCGUAUUUAACUGUCAGAGGUGAAAUUCUUAGAUUUGUUAAAGACGAACUACUGCGAAAGCAUUUGCCAAAGAUGUUUUCAUUAAUCAAGAACGAAAGUUAGGGGCUCGAAGACGAUCAGAUACCGUCGUAGUCUUAACCAUAAACUAUGCCGAC
rnacentral:rRNA from 1 species